rnacentral:rRNA from 1 species
CCUUUAUAGUUUGAAUCCUGGCUCAGAUUGAACGCUGGCGGCAGGCCUAACACAUGCAAGUCGAGCGGUAGCACAGAGAGCUUGCUCUCGGGUGACGAGCGGCGGACGGGUGAGUAAUGUCUGGGAAACUGCCUGAUGGAGGGGGAUAACUACUGGAAACGGUAGCUAAUACCGCAUAACGUCGCAAGACCAAAGAGGGGGACCUUCGGGCCUCUUGCCAUCAGAUGUGCCCAGAUGGGAUUAGCUAGUAGGUGGGGUAACGGCUCACCUAGGCGACGAUCCCUAGCUGGUCUGAGAGGAUGACCAGCCACACUGGAACUGAGACACGGUCCAGACUCCUACGGGAGGCAGCAGUGGGGAAUAUUGCACAAUGGGCGCAAGCCUGAUGCAGCCAUGCCGCGUGUAUGAAGAAGGCCUUCGGGUUGUAAAGUACUUUCAGCGGGGAGGAAGGUGUUGAGGUUAAUAACCUCAGCAAUUGACGUUACCCGCAGAAGAAGCACCGGCUAACUCCGUGCCAGCAGCCGCGGUAAUACGGAGGGUGCAAGCGUUAAUCGGAAUUACUGGGCGUAAAGCGCACGCAGGCGGUCUGUCAAGUCGGAUGUGAAAUCCCCGGGCUCAACCUGGGAACUGCAUUCGAAACUGGCAGGCUAGAGUCUUGUAGAGGGGGGUAGAAUUCCAGGUGUAGCGGUGAAAUGCGUAGAGAUCUGGAGGAAUACCGGUGGCGAAGGCGGCCCCCUGGACAAAGACUGACGCUCAGGUGCGAAAGCGUGUGGAGCAAACAGGAUUAGAUACCCUGGUAGUCCACGCCGUAAACGAUGUCGACUUGUAGGUUGUGCCCUUGAGGCGUGGCUUCCGGAGCUAACGCGUUAAGUCGACCGCCUGGGGAGUACGGCCGCAAGGUUAAAACUCAAAUGAAUUGACGGGGGCCCGCACAAGCGGUGGAGCAUGUGGUUUAAUUCUAUGCAACGCGAAGAACCUUACCUACUCUUGACAUCCGGAGAACUUUCCAGAGAUGCAUUGGUGCCUUCGGGAACUCUAAAACAGGUGCUGCAUGGCUGUCGUCACCUCGUGUUGUGAAAUGUUGGGUUAAGUCCCGCAACGAGCGCACCCUUAUCCUUUGUUGCCGCGGUUCCGCCGGGACUCAAAGGAGACGCCCAUGAUAACUGGAGAAAGUGGGGAUGACGUCAGGCUCG